GGACCCCAGGGUCUGAGUCGCCGCUGCCGCCGCUGCCACCAUCCGCGAGGCAGGCGAGAGGAAGAGUGCGGCGUGACGGCCCCGGGGCCGCGGAGGGACCCAGAUAUGGAGCUUCGAGAAGAAGCUUGGUCUCCGGGGCCACUGGAUUCUGAGGACCAGCAGAUGGCCAGUCAUGAGAACCCAGCAUUAUUAGGUUGAAAAACUCACCUGUGGGUUACGUGGAGCCUAGGUGUUUUGGGUAAGACCCAUCCUGGUCCACCAACACCCUCCUCCCUCUCCCUGGUGAUUCCAGCCUGAUGACAAGAAAGCUCAUGCGAAGGCACAGUGGGCCAAGUUGUGUGUCUGACACCUGGAGCAGACGGCAUUGGCUUUCUCCAUGUUAAUAAAUUGGUGCUUACAACACAAAAAAAAAAAAAAAAAAAAAAAAAAAAAAAAAAAAAAAAAAA
rnacentral:lncRNA from 1 species